GAUGAACGCUGGCGGCGUGCUUAACACAUGCAAGUCGAACGAUGAAGCCCAGCUUGCUGGGUGGACUAGUGGCGCACGGGUGAGUAAAACACGAGUAUACUGCCCCCAUCACUGGGAUAUGACUGCGAAAAUGGGUGUAUUAUAGGAGAGAAGCGUUCCUCGUACGGUGGGUGUUGGGGAGAUUUAGCGGUUUUGGAUGGACUCGCGGCCUAUCAGCUUGUUGGUGGGGUAAUGGCUCACCAAGGCGCUGACGGGUAGCCGGCCUGAGAGGGUGACCGGCCACACUGGGACUGAGACACGGCCCAGACUCCUACGGGAGGCAGCAGUGGGGAAUAUUGCACAAUGGGCGGAAGCCUGAUGCAGCGACGCCGCGUGCGGGAUGACGGCCUUCGGGUUGUAAACCUCUUUCGGUAGGGAAGAAGCGAGAGUGACGGUACCUGGAGAAGAAGCACCGGCUAACUACGUG
rnacentral:rRNA from 1 species